rnacentral:rRNA from 1 species
GACGAACGCUGGCGGCGUGCUUAACACAUGCAAGUCGAACGGUGAAGCUCCAGCUUGCUGGAGUGGAUCAGUGGCGAACGGGUGAGUAACACGUGAGCAACCUGCCCCUGACUCUGGAAUAAGCGCUGGAAACGGCGUCUAAUACUGGAUACGAGAAGGGUCCGCAUGGGCACUUUCUGGAAAGUUUUUCGGUUGGGGAUGGGCUCGCGGCCUAUCAGCUUGUUGGUGAGGUAAUGGCUCACCAAGGCGACGACGGGUAGCCGGCCUGAGAGGGCGACCGGCCCCACGGGGACGGGGACACGGCCAAGACUCCUACGGGGGGGAGCAGUGGGGAAAUUUGCAAAAGGGGCGAAAGCCGGAUGCAGGGCCGCCGGGGGGGGGAAGACGGCCUUCGGGUUGUAAACCUUUUUCAGGAGGGAAGAAGCGAAAGGGACGGUACCGGCAGAAGAAACACCGGCUAACUACGU